GGGGGUUGGGGGUGGGGG
rnacentral:miRNA from 1 species